AACCCUAAUGAGAUCAUCCAAAUCGUGCUCAACUCAAUUAGUCCUGUGACUCCUCACUAGGACUACCCUGGCCAAGGUUUUGCUAAAUUGAAACAUGACUGUACACAGCUCCUAAACUGGAGUGGUCAAUCCCAUCUUGAAACACGCACCGACAAGUCAAGUACUUGACUACACCCAGCAACCUUCCAUCACUGAAUUAGAAAUUCAGAUAGUCCAGUGCCUAAGUGCAGUGAGUUGCUUGCAAGUCACCGUGGCGGUCUCAGGUCGGAGGGACAUUUAUAUCCAUAUCCC
rnacentral:lncRNA from 1 species